rnacentral:rRNA from 1 species
CUUGGACAAUGGGGGCAACCCUGAUCCAGCAAUGCCGCGUGGGUGAAGAAGGCCUUCGGGUUGUAAAGCCCUUUCGGCAGGGAAGAAAUCGGCGGGGUGAAUAGCCCUGCUGGAUGACGGUACCUGCAGAAGAAGCACCGGCUAACUACGUGCCAGCAGCCGCGGUAAUACGUAGGGUGCGAGCGUUAAUCGGAUUUACUGGGCGUAAAGCGUGCGCAGGCGGCCCGUUAAGACAGGUGUGAAAUCCCUGGGCUCAACCUAGGAAUUGCGCUUGUGACUGGCGGGCUAGAGUACGGUAGAGGGGGGUGGAAUUCCUGGUGUAGCAGUGAAAUGCGUAGAGAUCAGGAGGAACACCGAUGGCGAAGGCAGCCCCCUGGGCCUGUACUGACGCUCAUGCACGAAAGCGUGGGGAGCAAACAGGAUUAGAUACCCUGGUAGUCCACGCCCUAAACGAUGGGUACUAGCCGUUUGGUGCAUCAAGGCGCUGAGUGGCGAAGCUAACGCGUGAAGUACCCCGCCUGGGA